CACACGGUGGCAGUAUAGCGUGGAAACACCAACCGGAAGUUGGCUACGUCUUUAAAAAGAAGCAGCAGGCAGCCCCUCGUUCAUUUCGCUCAUGGGGAUCAGCAAGGAGAGAGCUUCCCUGCAGGUCCACAUGGGACCAUCUGCCAGUGGCCAGGUGGCAGCAGCGGGGUCUGGUGCAACAUGUGCUGGGUGGAGUGUGGUGUACCUCAGGGCCUGGUCUUCAGUUGCCAGGUCGGAUCACCGGACCAUGAAGGUCCUGGAUGUCCUGCAAAUGUUAGUUCCAAGGUGAUUGGUCAGACUUAGGUCAGCUAUCAAAGAACUAACACGCGGGCACUGACCUGGACCCAAGCCUCCGGGAGGGACUUGUUGGACAGGACCUUAAGGAGCCACAUGGGUGGGCCCUGCAAAGAUGACCGAGCUCCUCCAGGACCGAUGAGGGGAGGGGCCCCACAAGACUUGCCUGUCUAAGCAGAGGCCCCAGGACAAGUUUAUGCGUGGACUGCAGUGGUGUACAAGAUGAAUGCCAAUUUUUCUAAUAAAAAACCUUACUAUAUAU